UACUGCUAUCUGCCACUGGCAACACUGGUGUUCUCUUGGUUAUAAACUUCUGUAAAGUUCAUUUUUGGUUUCUUUAUUGGUUAUUGUUGUGGUUAUUGAGAUAUUUUAUGAAUGAAACAGAAGGUGGAUUAGAGUAAAUUAUUGGUGUUAUUCCUUCAACAAUGCAGAUUUGCGUGAUAUGCCUCGAUACUGAUUGUAAGCUUUUACUGAUGGGUGAACACAAAUUGAAAGCAGCAUAUGAGAAGUUAACCGGAUAUCCUUUAUGUGAUCAAGGAAACAUUAAGCAAACACUUUGCGAACGUUGUGCUCAGAAAUUGACAGACUUUAGUAGAUUUAGAGACGAGAGCUUAAGGGCCCGUGCCCUGAUGAUAAACUUGGUUGGAAAACACGAAUUAAUAACAGAAAGACAUAUAGAAAUAAUAAAUCAGAUGAAACAAAAACUAAAGAGUGAUAUGGUGUUGACAACACUAGAACCUGACCACUGUGACAUACAGAUACUGGAACAUCCCUCCGAAGACCAACAGACAGAAUUAGAGCAAACUGGACAUGGAGUUGUGGUGAAAUCUGAAGAAUGUGAUGACUCUGUGUUGGUUGAUGAAAAUAUGAAAGUGAUAAAUGAAGGUGACAAUAAUGUCAAUGAUUUGGUUCAGGAUCCCAUAGAAUAUGGAGGUGUUCCCUUCCGAUGUUCAUUUUGUUUGGAAGAAUUCGUUGAUGAACAUGACACGUCACAUGUACACAUUGUAAACAUGCGGCAUAUGAGCAUGAAUCUCCAGAACGGUGAUGGUGAAUGUGAGACGUCGCAAGUACCUUUACAGCACGCAGACCCCAGCAAUUCCGUACGCGUGGCUCAGACCUUACGCGCAUCUUUGCCGUUAAGUCUUGCGACCGAAGAUGCCGAUGCAGACGACAGUUGCCGAAACAAAAUAUUAACUGAUUGUUUUGUCAAAUUACACGAUGUUUUGUCUAAGAAAGUUGUGCCAAGACGAGAUGGAUCGCUGACAAAACAAGAGAAAGCUGUUAGGUUGUGCGACAGACAGAACAUUAGGUUUAAAGAUAUCAGUUAUCAAGCAACUAGUCAGAAUGAAGUCCCUCCAAUAGAAUAUGUUAAACCAGUCGCUGAUGAAGAGAAAGUUACUGUCUCAAAAACUGUGCCCACUCUCCAUAAUGCAUCUAAAGAUAUCCGUUAUCAAGCCAUAAGUCAGACUGAAGUCCCUCCAAUAGAAUAUGUCGUCACUGUGUCAAAACCAGUCUACAGGUGUGACUUUUGUCAAAACACAUUUAAACAACAGAGUCUCCUAGUCAAACACAUGCAGUGUCAUGGAAUAGACAAUCAAUUUGUUUGCGAGAUUUGUCAAUUCAAAACUAAAUAUAAAGCCAAUUUAGCAGUGCACAUGAGAAUUCAUACUGAUGAAAGGCCAUAUCCUUGUACAAUAUGCGAGAGUAAGUUUAGAUUACCGACUCAUUUAAAGAUUCACAUGAGAACUCACACUGGUGAAAGGCCAUAUUCUUGCAGACUAUGUAAGAAAAAAUUUACGUCAUCAUACCAUUUAAAGAGGCACUUGAGUAGUCAUACUGGUGACAAGCCAUAUACUUGCACAUAUUGCAAGAAUAAGUUCAUAUCAAAUAGUUAUUUAUUGAUACAUAUGAGAACGCACACUGGUGAAAAGCCUUUCAAAUGCAAGUUAUGUGACUACAGUAGUGCACAAAAUAGCCUUAAAACCCACAUGAGAACUCACACUGGUGAAAAGCCAUUUACAUGUGACAUAUGCCAAUUUAAAACUGCACAAAAAACCAGUUUAUUAAGGCAUAUGAAAACUCACCGCUAAAGCUUUUACGCUUAUUGCGUAGGUUCUUGUAGAUGUACACGUACGUCAGAUUUUCCAACCCUUAAGGAUUCUACAGGAAGACUCACGGCCGUAUUCACAAUCAUUACUAUGAGAACUCAUAGGCGGCCCUUACACAGUCAGUUUAGAUCGCGAUCAAGUAGCUCUUAUCGCGAUCACAGAUUGAUGGAUUGCGCUACAACAUUACACGUUCAAUCUCGAUUUCGUCAGUCCGUGUUAUCCUACGCAGCGUGAACACGUGUUAUCAUGGAUUUACAUGAUGUUAACGCUGUAGUAAGUCUUGUCUUAGCCCUAACUUUGAAGAAGAGGAUUCGUAGAAGGCGCUGGGUUAAACAGUGGUUACAGAAAAAAGAAGUGUAUAUACUCAUUUAAAUCUUCUUAAAGAAAUACAACUAACUGCUGAAGAUGAUGAUUACAAAAACUACUUCAGGAUGGAUGAAAAUCUUUAAACGGGUUACUACUACACAUGAUAACUCCAUAUAUAAUAAAACUGACUGACGCGAUCCUGCGUUUACACGUUCAAUCUUGAUCACGAUCAGUGGAUCGCGAUCUUGAUUUCAAAAUAUCCAGAUAUUUUGUGAUCAGAUGCAUCAAUCCGUCAAUCUACUCCGUACAUUAUCAAUCUGGAUCAUUGAUUUAGAUCGCGGAUCGCGAUCUAAAUUGACUGUGUAAGGGCUGCCUUAGUAACGUUUGUGAAUACGCGUGUUAUAUCCCUUGAAUACCACUCGAGAAAUCCCAUUGGAAUCAUGAAACGUAAAUCUCUGGGGAUAAGCGAAAUAGCACAAAAUAAGGCUAAAUAGCAAUUAUAACACCCCUCUUUUUGGGUCGGGGGUUAAAAAAUAGAAUUCCUAAUAGAAACUUGUCAAGUAUGGUUGAGCAGACUAGCCAAACUGAGCACCAAAAUCCAUAAUUCAUCCGAUUCUCAUUGGGAAUUCUUACUCGUGUAAUUAUUAUUUAUCAAUCGUUUUAAGGGUGCCAACGGGACCCUAUUAAUUAGCCUCCAGAGUCGAUUCGUCCUUCCGUUCGUCUUGUCUUUCAGCGGACUGUUUCUUGAACCGUAGGUAGCUGAAAUUUGCACGUAUGUACCUGAUGUGUCCGCUACAACAACAAAUAAUUAAAAUACAAAAUGGCCACCAUGAAUAUUGUUAUUUCUUGUACGAUGGCCAUGGUAGUUCUUCAUGAGCGAGUCCGAGUCGCACUUGACCGGUGUUAUAAUAUACUUUUUAAGAGUUUAAGCAUAUGUUAUAAUAUUAAAAUAAAAUACACACCUC